GGGUUGUGAGGUUAAGCGACUAAGCGUACACGGUGGAUGCCCUGGCAGUCAGAGGCGAUGAAGGACGUGCUAAUCUGCGAUAAGCGUCGGUAAGGUGAUAUGAACCGUUAUAACCGGCGAUUUCCGAAUGGGGAAACCCAGUGUGAUUCGUCACACUAUCAUUAACUGAAUCCAUAGGUUAAUGAGGCGAACCGGGGGAACUGAAACAUCUAAGUACCCCGAGGAAAAGAAAUCAACCGAGAUUCCCCCAGUAGCGGCGAGCGAACGGGGAGCAGCCCAGAGCCUGAAUCAGUGUGUGUGUUAGUGGAAGCGUCUGGAAAGGCGCGCGAUACAGGGUGACAGCCCCGUACACAAAAAUGCACAUGCUGUGAGCUCGAUGAGUAGGGCGGGACACGUGGUAUCCUGUCUGAAUAUGGGGGGACCAUCCUCCAAGGCUAAAUACUCCUGACUGACCGAUAGUGAACCAGUACCGUGAGGGAAAGGCGAAAAGAACCCCGGCGAGGGGAGUGAAAAAGAACCUGAAACCGUGUACGUACAAGCAGUGGGAGCCUCUUAAUGGGGUGACUGCGUACCUUUUGUAUAAUGGGUCAGCGACUUAUAUUCUGUAGCAAGGUUAACCGAAUAGGGGAGCCGAAGGGAAACCGAGUCUUAACUGGGCGUUAAGUUGCAGGGUAUAGACCCGAAACCCGGUGAUCUAGCCAUGGGCAGGUUGAAGGUUGGGUAACACUAACUGGAGGACCGAACCGACUAAUGUUGAAAAAUUAGCGGAUGACUUGUGGCUGGGGGUGAAAGGCCAAUCAAACCGGGAGAUAGCUGGUUCUCCCCGAAAGCUAUUUAGGUAGCGCCUCGUGAAUUCAUCUCCGGGGGUAGAGCACUGUUUCGGCAAGGGGGUCAUCCCGACUUACCAACCCGAUGCAAACUGCGAAUACCGGAGAAUGUUAUCACGGGAGACACACGGCGGGUGCUAACGUCCGUCGUGAAGAGGGAAACAACCCAGACCGCCAGCUAAGGUCCCAAAGUCAUGGUUAAGUGGGAAACGAUGUGGGAAGGCCCAGACAGCCAGGAUGUUGGCUUAGAAGCAGCCAUCAUUUAAAGAAAGCGUAAUAGCUCACUGGUCGAGUCGGCCUGCGCGGAAGAUGUAACGGGGCUAAACCAUGCACCGAAGCUGCGGCAGCGACGCUUAUGCGUUGUUGGGUAGGGGAGCGUUCUGUAAGCCUGCGAAGGUGUACUGUGAGGUAUGCUGGAGGUAUCAGAAGUGCGAAUGCUGACAUAAGUAACGAUAAAGCGGGUGAAAAGCCCGCUCGCCGGAAGACCAAGGGUUCCUGUCCAACGUUAAUCGGGGCAGGGUGAGUCGACCCCUAAGGCGAGGCCGAAAGGCGUAGUCGAUGGGAAACAGGUUAAUAUUCCUGUACUUGGUGUUACUGCGAAGGGGGGACGGAGAAGGCUAUGUUGGCCGGGCGACGGUUGUCCCGGUUUAAGCGUGUAGGCUGGUUUUCCAGGCAAAUCCGGAAAAUCAAGGCUGAGGCGUGAUGACGAGGCACUACGGUGCUGAAGCAACAAAUGCCCUGCUUCCAGGAAAAGCCUCUAAGCAUCAGGUAACAUCAAAUCGUACCCCAAACCGACACAGGUGGUCAGGUAGAGAAUACCAAGGCGCUUGAGAGAACUCGGGUGAAGGAACUAGGCAAAAUGGUGCCGUAACUUCGGGAGAAGGCACGCUGAUAUGUAGGUGAAGUCCCUUGCGGAUGGAGCUGAAAUCAGUCGAAGAUACCAGCUGGCUGCAACUGUUUAUUAAAAACACAGCACUGUGCAAACACGAAAGUGGACGUAUACGGUGUGACGCCUGCCCGGUGCCGGAAGGUUAAUUGAUGGGGUUAGCGGUAACGCGAAGCUCUUGAUCGAAGCCCCGGUAAACGGCGGCCGUAACUAUAACGGUCCUAAGGUAGCGAAAUUCCUUGUCGGGUAAGUUCCGACCUGCACGAAUGGCGUAAUGAUGGCCAGGCUGUCUCCACCCGAGACUCAGUGAAAUUGAACUCGCUGUGAAGAUGCAGUGUACCCGCGGCAAGACGGAAAGACCCCGUGAACCUUUACUAUAGCUUGACACUGAACAUUGAGCCUUGAUGUGUAGGAUAGGUGGGAGGCUUUGAAGUGUGGACGCCAGUCUGCAUGGAGCCGACCUUGAAAUACCACCCUUUAAUGUUUGAUGUUCUAACGUUGGCCCCUAAUCGGGGUUGCGGACAGUGUCUGGUGGGUAGUUUGACUGGGGCGGUCUCCUCCUAAAGAGUAACGGAGGAGCACGAAGGUUGGCUAAUCCUGGUCGGACAUCAGGAGGUUAGUGCAAUGGCAUAAGCCAGCUUGACUGCGAGCGUGACGGCGCGAGCAGGUGCGAAAGCAGGUCAUAGUGAUCCGGUGGUUCUGAAUGGAAGGGCCAUCGCUCAACGGAUAAAAGGUACUCCGGGGAUAACAGGCUGAUACCGCCCAAGAGUUCAUAUCGACGGCGGUGUUUGGCACCUCGAUGUCGGCUCAUCACAUCCUGGGGCUGAAGUAGGUCCCAAGGGUAUGGCUGUUCGCCAUUUAAAGUGGUACGCGAGCUGGGUUUAGAACGUCGUGAGACAGUUCGGUCCCUAUCUGCCGUGGGCGCUGGAGAACUGAGGGGGGCUGCUCCUAGUACGAGAGGACCGGAGUGGACGCAUCACUGGUGUUCGGGUUGUCAUGCCAAUGGCACUGCCCGGUAGCUAAAUGCGGAAGAGAUAAGUGCUGAAAGCAUCUAAGCACGAAACUUGCCCCGAGAUGAGUUCUCCCUGACUCCCUGAGAGUCCUGAAGGAACGUUGAAGACGACGACGUUGAUAGGCCGGGUGUGUAAGCGCAGCGAUGCGUUGAGCUAACCGGUACUAAUGAACCGUGAGGCUUAACCUUACAACGCCGAAG
rnacentral:rRNA from 1 species